GUGAAUGGUGGCGGUGCAGAGGGUGAGCGGCGGGCGAGAGGAGGCGCUGAGGAGGAAUAGGCCGGCGGCGCGGGCGGCGAAGGGAACGACGUGACGGUGGAGUUGGCGGCGCCGAUGGGGCAUGCCGCGUCAAGGACCCCGAGCAACUGCGGCAGCGGUGGAAGGCAGCGCGCCGAGCGACGAGCGACUGGACGAGGACGCAGGGAGUGUCCACCAGAGCGAGGGCAGGAGCCCAUCACGGAGGAUCAGGUCUUGGGGCAGCAGCGUCGGGUAAAGAAGAGGAAGAAACUGGGUGGCUCCACGGCCAUGGAGGCGAGGAUGUGGUUGAGUGGGAUCCUUGGGUUGCGGAGAUGGAGGAGGUGAGGCCGAGCUGGUCAUAUGCUGUUUCAGGUACGGGCUGAAUUGGUUCAGGUUUGGUUCUCCCUCCUCUCUCUGUAUUUUCCUCUCCGUCUCUCUACUCUCACUCUCCUCCCCCCCCCCCUCUUUCUCAUGGACGAGGGCGGGGGUGGCAGGGAAUGGAGGAGCAUAGGGUGCGAGCCGAGGGGAGUGCCCGUAGUAGCUAUCACCGUCCUCAGCUCCACACUACCCAGCUCGAUGCCGCCUUGAUGCCGCUGAACAGAGAAGGGGGUGUGAACCGAGGAGGCUGUCAGUAUAUUUUUUGACAACGUGACUGUCAGUAUAUAGUUGUUGUAUCUGCUUGAUUCUUGGCAUACCCCUACAUUCACCUAACUAAACGAUUCCUACUACAUAUGCAUUCUGUGUUGGUGAAUAAUAUUUAAUUCAAUAAACAGUAGUUGUGGAAAUAGUAUCAAGUGCCAUUAUUAGUCACAAAGUGGUGGGAGCUUAUCCUCUAAUUUUGUUUUUCCAAGUGAGAAUAAUCUAAAAAGGAACCAUAGCUGAUUGAUGUCUUUUUGAUGGCGUUCUCUACAGGUUGCUUGAGUUACUACUUCAUAAAUUGUUGCCAGCUUCCUUUCUGAUUUCCCCUUGGGGUGCAGAGAGAGCUUCCAGGCCGAGCCCCGCGGUCUGGUAGGUAGAAGGCAAAGCAAUAUCUCGUCUAUCUUUGUUUACCUUGGCACUGGGUUGACAUAUGUGUGGUUUCAGCUUAAAGCCAAUACAAUACAAGUGAGAUAGCUAACCGUACCAAUCAGUUGUGCGGACACGUGAAAUGUCUUAUGUUAUUGGUGGAUCUCCCAUGGGUUGGAUUUUUUGUGUGGCCUGAAGGAAAAGAAGAAUAGCUGUCACUUCAAGCUGCAAAGUCAAAUAUCACUCACUCAGCCACUCAGGUGACUCCCCGAGAUUCUUAGCUCUAUAAGCAUUAUUGCUCCUCAUGAUUGUUUGCAGUAUAUAUUAUACCAAUGUUAUUUUCUCCCUUUUUAGCUGAAUGAUCACUGACUGUUUGGACAGAAUAAUGGUCCAUGUGAGAGAAAUAACAUGUUGAUAUCAUCCUGAAAUAAUAUAAGCGGGAGGGGACGAGGUUGGUAGCCAUAAGUCAUUGGCUCGUAAUUUGCCUAUAUUUAUUAUACUAGCUCUAAAGUGUGAGAUGUCUCCUACUCUAUACAGUUAAUUUGUGGGCAUAUCAUUGCUACUGUCUCCUAAUUGGGUGAUGAGCAUAUGGUGUAGAUUUUUGUGAGCACAUGUUUGUGAUCAGACUACCAUGGUA